UGCUUCAGUAAAACCUUAUCUGCCUACCCUCUGCCGUGGUGCACUCUACCAUAUCCCUGCCUUGCUGUGCUCAAGGGUCCGGCGUGGAUCUUCAGGAUUGAGCCACGCAUCCAUACCCAUGCGUUCACUGGCACCUCCAGAGCCCCCCUCGCUGUAAUCCCAUGAACCUAGACAUCGCUUGAUCUUUUCCCUGCCCAUUUAAGAGUAACCAAAGGGGGGGAGAAAGGGGAGUAAAGGAGAGAUCCCUGCCUCUGUCGUAAGCCACUUUGUGUGACUUCAAAACAGUAUUGUUGCCUUCGCUUCUCCAGACUAUACCCUGGAAACGCCCAAGCCUCUAGCCAAGUGGCUUCACGUGUCUGGUGACCACGUCGCCGACGCCUCAACCUCACGUGGCCAGAACGUAGUCGCGCCACCGCAAAUCGUCGUCGUGUUUAGUUUCAUCGUCGGCCGGCCAACGUACGACUUCCCCGAGCAGUUUCAUGCACCCACCAAGAACUUGGACUGUCAGGUUAGUUGGACUGAAUUUUUAUUCAAAACUGAAACCUGAAAUUGCAGUGGUUUUGGCUCUACUUUGGUGCUUCAUAAAAAUUGUUCUGAAUGUUUUCAACCUAGGGGUGCUAUACCAAAGUAGUAGAGCUAUAUCUAAGGAAUAACUUUGGUAAUGUGAGCUUGGUCUGUUGCUGUGUAAAAGUUGGAGAAAAGGUUGGCUAAAGUUGGUCUGUCAGGCUUGACACAACUGAAUUUUUUUAUUCAGUUGUGUGAACUGAAUUGCAGCAGUAUGCCUAGUUUGGAGUUCAUUUGUGACUGAUUCAUGGGGUUUUGGAUUAAGGGUUCCAUAGCAAAGUUGUAGACCAUAGUAAAGUGAACAAGUUUGCUAAAGUGAGAUGGACCUGGUUCCACAUAAAUUUGGGAGUAAAAGUGGCCAAAAGAUGGACUGUCAGGUGUUGGGAUUCAGACUUAGAAUAAUAUUUAAGUCUGAAUAUGUGUGUUGUUACCCAACUUUGGGGCCUUGUGGUAAUAAAUCCAAAGAGAUUUGGGUUAAGAGUAUGUAGCAAAAUAAGAGACCAAAUAUAGAUGAACAAGUUUUGUGCAAAGAGUGGGCUUAGUACCGUAUGGAAUUUAGAGAAUAGCCUACUGCAAAACCCUCUAUCCGACUCAGUAUUGUGCUGUUUCAGAAAUUAGAAACUGAAUUUUCAGUGUUUUGCUUAACUUUGGAUUGCCAUAACUCUUGCUCUAAAUAUUUUCAACCUGUGAUUUCUAUACCAAGUUGGUAGAGCUAUGCCUAGAGAAUAACUUUGAGUAAAUGAGUUGGGUUUGUUGUUGAAGGAAUUUGUGAGUUACAAAGCACUGAACAGAGGGAGAGGAAUGGAGCACUAGAAGAUGAAUUCAGAGAAACGAAAACAGGUUCAGUGAAUUGUGGUUGAUUCUUGGACACUAUAACUUGUAGUACAUGCAGUGUGGAUCCUUGCUUAAUGCAUAAAUGAAGUACUUGGUUGGUUAUGGAGGCAAGGUUUUCUAGUUUGGUUGGUAAAUUGAGUUGUGAUAUUAGAGUAUUUAGCUCUCUUAAGGUUUUGUUAGCUUUUGUGUGCACCUUUAGAGAGGUGUAAGUCUUGUGAUGUUUUUUAGUAUUUUCUUUUCAAGUUGCAUAAGCAUAAGCAUUCAUGUCCAUAUCUUUACAUGUAGAAUUCCUAGAAGAAGAAGAUGAUGAAAUUCAAGAAGUGGUUUCUGAAGAGGAGUCUGCUUCAGUGCUUGCUCAUCAAGUGAUGGGAGCCAUCUAACUCGGUAUUUAAUAGAGGGAUCUGAAACCUCUUUAUUGCAAUAAGGCAAGCCCCGGUGCAUUUACCCCUUCCUUGUAUUUUUAAAAAGACUUUUAUACACUUAAGUCUAGUGAAAUGUGCAUUAAGUUUAUAGGAAUUGCUUGGAAAUUAUUUGAUGCAUUGCCUACCUUAAUAUCCAUACCUUUAUAGAUACUUCUGAUGAAGUAUCAAAAUAUGAUUUACAAAAAUGCUUAGCCCUGCUUAGAUCUUGUGGAUAGAGGCUAUCUUUUGCAAUAAUGCCUAGCUCAGGGGUUAUCCCGAGGAAGGAUGGCUUCUACCUGCAAGAAUAUUUUCAUUGGGAGCAUGGUGGGAUCUUACUGCAAAGUUCCCUAUAAUGCUCUUUUCAUCCUAAGGAACACAAAACAAUCCUAAGGAUGGAAGUACUUAACUCGAGACUUGGGCUAGGAACAGGUGAUGCUCCACCCAGGUUAAUUAAGGAUUGGAUGUAUAUGUAGGCCUGUAUGAUCAAGGACUAUCUUAACUGGCCAUAUGCCCUGGAUAUAGGACAGGGUAAGCUUGAACCCAGCUAUUCCAUACGUGAAAAGACAACCGCGCACUAGGCGUGGGAGAUGGUGGGAGUAGCGUGUACCCUCCUGGCUAGAGGCUGGACGGAGGAGUAUUGUGCUCCCGGAUAGGGCGGACCGGUUCACAUUGUGGAGGAUCUGUGGGAAUGGUUGACAUAUGCAAGGGUUAAGUGCUACAUAUGUCGUGUGGUUAGAGAUCCUCAGUUGAGUAAAUCGAUUCGGAUCAUCGUUACAUCCUCGGACAAUGGAGACUUGAUCUCUGACCUGCAACCUAAGUCAGGAUGUAAACAUUAUAAAUAAAAAUGAUGUUGUAUUGAUGAGAUGGUGAAAUUAGACUAGAUGUAACUAGAGUCUAUUAAUAUUUAAUCUGGCGUUAAAAUAUUGAAAGUAAGGACUCACUUUAGUAAGUUAUUUCUGCAAAAGUAUCUAAUUUGAUUCUUGCUAAAGCCUUUUCCUUGAUUCCUAUUUAACCAGCAUAUCCUUGAGAGUCAUUUUUCCUUAGUCGGGUAAGACUUGCGAAAAUACACUCCGUACUCAGGGUUUUCGAACCCAUGUUGUUGUAGGUGAUGAGGAGUACUCUAGGUGUUCCUGUGGCUGGAGGGCGUUUCCAGUUCUGAAGGAGGAUUAGUUAGGUUUAUGUAUGAGCUUUGGAAGGGUUCUACCUUCCUACUUUUGUAUGUAAGCUUUGCACUUUGAGUAUAUCAGGACUUGUAAUAAUUACAAAUCUUUCUAGCAUGUAA
rnacentral:lncRNA from 1 species